UACGUAGGGACCAAGCGUUGUUCGGAUUUACUGGGCGUAAAGGGCGCGUAGGCGGCUUAACAAGUCACUUGUGAAAUCUCCGGGCUUAACUCGGAACGGCCAAGUGAAACUGUCAAGCUAGAGUGCAGAAGGGGCAAUCGGAAUUCCUGGUGUAGCGGUGAAAUGACGCAGAUAUCAGGAGGAACACCGGUGGCGAAGGCGGGUCUCUGGGCCGAUACUGACGCUGAGGAGCGAAAGCGUGGGGAGCGAACAGG
rnacentral:rRNA from 1 species